CAAGCAAUGCUUGCCACACUCAUUAGGUGAAUUUAAAAUCACCUGAUGAGUGUGGCAAGCAUUGCUUGUC
rnacentral:miRNA from 1 species